rnacentral:rRNA from 1 species
CCUACGGGUGGCAGCAGUGGGGAAUAUUGCACAAUGGGGGAAACCCUGAUGCAGCGACGCCGCGUGAGUGAAGAAGUAUUUCGGUACGUAAAGCUCUAUCAGCAGGGAAGAAAAUGACGGUACCUGACUAAGAAGCCCCGGCUAACUACGUGCCAGCAGCCGCGGUAAUAAGUAGGGGGCAAGCGUUAUCCGGAUUUACUGGGUGUAAAGGGAGCGUAGACGGCAGCGCAAGUCUGGAGUGAAAUCCCAUGGCUUAACCAUGGAACUGCUUUGGAAACUGUGCAGCUAGAGUGCAGGAGAGGUAAGCGGAAUUCGUAGUGUAGCGGUGAAAUGCGUAGAUAUUAGGAGGAACACCAGUGGCGAAGGCGGCUUACUGGACUGUAACUGACGUUGAGGCUCGAAAGCGUGGGGAGCAAACAGGAGUAGAUACCCGAGUAGUC